GAUGAACGCUGGCGGCGUGCCUAAUACAUGCAAGUCGAGCGAACGGACGAGAAGCUUGCUUCUCUGAUGUUAGCGGCGGACGGGUGAGUAACACGUGGAUAACCUACCUAUAAGACUGGGAUAACUUCGGGAAACCGGAGCUAAUACCGGCUGAUAUUUUGAACCGCAUGGUUCAAAAGUGAAAGACGGUCUUGCUGUCACUUAUAGAUGGAUCCGCGCUGCAUUAGCUAGUUGGUAAGGUAACGGCUUACCAAGGCAACGAUGCAUAGCCGACCUGAGAGGGUGAUCGGCCACACUGGAACUGAGACACGGUCCAGACUCCUACGGGAGGCAGCAGUAGGGAAUCUUCCGCAAUGGGCGAAAGCCUGACGGAGCAACGCCGCGUGAGUGAUGAAGGUCUUCGGAUCGUAAAACUCUGUUAUUAGGGAAGAACAUAUGUGUAAGUAACUGUGCACAGCUUGACGGUACCUAAUCAGAAAGCCACGGCUAACUACGUG
rnacentral:rRNA from 1 species